rnacentral:miRNA from 1 species
AUACACACACACACACACACACACACACACACACACACACACACAAUCCACAGAAAUAUGUGCCCUGUUUGUCUAACAUAAGGGUAGCCAACAGGAUGCAUUCCAGAUGUUGUUUAAUUUAAUGUGUGUGUGUGUGUGUGUGUGUAUAUGUAUGUGUGUGUGUGUAU